rnacentral:rRNA from 1 species
CAGUAGCCACGGUAAUACGAAGGGUGCAAGCGUUAAUCGGAAUUACUGGGCGUAAAGCGUGCGUAGUCGGUGAGUUAAGUCUGCUGUGAAAUCCCCGGGCUCAACCUGGGAAUGGCAGUGGAUACUGGCUCGCUAGAGUGUGUCAGAGGAUGGUGGAAUUCCCGGUGUAGCGGUGAAAUGCGUAGAGAUCGGGAGGAACAUCAGUGGCGAAGGCGGCCAUCUGGGACAACACUGACGCUGAGGCACGAAAGCGUGGGGAGCAGACAGGAUUAGAUACCCCCGUAGUCCCUGUCUCUUAUAC